rnacentral:pre_miRNA from 2 species
UUCUAUGAAUGAGCAAAGAAAGUGGUUUUUUAAGAUGGAGUCUUCUCCCAGUGAAGAUGCUGUGAA